GGCUAAAACAGUCAGGAUGUUGGCUUAGAAGCAGCCAUCAUUUAAAGAAAGCGUAAUAGCUCACUGAUCGAGUCGUCCUGCGCGGAAGAUGUAACGGGGCUAAGCCAGUCACCGAAGCUGCGGAUAUCCUUUAUUGGAUAUGGUAGGAGAGCGUUCUGUAAGCCUGCGAAGGUGUCUUGUAAAGGAUGCUGGAGGUAUCAGAAGUGCGAAUGCUGACAUGAGUAGCGAUAAUGGGGGUGAAAAGCCUCCACGCCGUAAGCCCAAGGUUUCCUGUUCAACGUUCAUCGGAGCAGGGUGAGUCGGCCCCUAAGGCGAGGCAGAGAUGCGUAGCUGAUGGGAAGCAGGUUAAUAUUCCUGCACCGUCGUAUGAUGCGAUGGGGGGACGGAUCGCGGAAGGUUGUCUGACUGUUGGAAUAGUCAGUUUCUGCUUCAUAGAAGGCACUUAGGCAAAUCCGGGUGCGGAAUUCAAGGGAGUGGGACGAGUGAAUUUAUUCACGAAGCAAUCGGAAGUGGUUCCAAGAAAAGCCUCUAAGCUUCAGUCAUACGAGACCGUACCGCAAACCGACACAGGUGGGCGAGAUGAGUAUUCUAAGGCGCUUGAGAGAACUCGGGAGAAGG
rnacentral:rRNA from 1 species